UUAAAUUGAAGAGUUUGAUCAUGGCUCAGAUUGAACGCUGGCGGCAGGCCUAACACAUGCAAGUCGAACGGUAGCACAGAGAGCUUGCUCUCGGGUGACGAGUGGCGGACGGGUGAGUAAUGUCUGGGAAACUGCCUGAUGGAGGGGGAUAACUACUGGAAACGGUAGCUAAUACCGCAUAACGUCGCAAGAC
rnacentral:rRNA from 1 species